UGGGGAAUAUUGGACAAUGGGCGCAAGCCUGAUCCAGCCAUGCCGCGUGAGUGAUGAAGGCCUUCGGGUCGUAAAGCUCUGUGGGAAGGGACGAAAAAACCGGUCCUAAUACGCCCGGUCUUGACGGUACCUUCUUAGCAAGCACCGGCUAACUCCGUGCCAGCAGCCGCGGUAAUACGGAGGGUGCAAACGUUGCUCGGAAUCAUUGGGCGUAAAGCGCACGUAGGCGGUUCGGUAAGUUGGAUGUGAAAUCCCUCGGCUCAACCGAGGAAGGGCAUCCAAAACUGCCGAGCUUGAGUACGGAAGAGGGUCUCGGAAUUCCCGGUGUAGAGGUGAAAUUCGUAGAUAUCGGGAGGAACACCAGUGGCGAAGGCGGAGACCUGGGCCGAUACUGACGCUGAGGUGCGAAAGCGUGGGGAGCAAACAGG
rnacentral:rRNA from 1 species